GUCCAGGGAUGGGAAUCGAACCCACACUGCUUACCGGGCAGAUGCCAUGUCCACUAGGCUACCCUGGA